CGGCAAUGGCGGCAGCUACACAUGCAGUCGGGCGGUAACAGGGGGAAGCUUGCUUCUCUGCUGACGAGCGGCGGACGGGUGAGUAAUGUAUGGGGAUCUGCCUGAUGGCGGGGGAUAACUACUGGAAACGGUAGCUAAUACCGCAUAAUGUCUUCGGACCAAAGCGGGGGACCUCCGGGCCUCGCGCCAUCAGAUGAACCCAUAUGGGAUUAGCUAGUAGGUGAGGUAACGGCUUACCUAGGCGACGAUCCCUAGCUGGUCUGAGAGGAUGAUCAGCCACACUGGGACUGAGACACGGCCCAGACUCCUACGGGAGGCAGCAGUGGGGAAUAUUGCACAAUGGGCGCAAGCCUGAUGCAGCCAUGCCGCGUGUAUGAAGAAGGCCUUCGGGUUGUAAAGUACUUUCAGUCGGGAGGAAGGUGUCAAGGUUAAUAACCUUGGCAAUUGACGUUACCGACAGAAGAAGCACCGGCUAACUCUGUGCAGCAGCCGCAA
rnacentral:rRNA from 1 species